rnacentral:snRNA from 1 species
AUAUUUAUGAAAGGAGCUCCCAGGGCGAGACGCGGGCAUUGCACUGCGCUCGUGUUGACCCCUGCCACUACCCCCAAACUGGGGCAGAUGGGGCAUGCAAUUUUUGGUAGUGGGGGACUGCGUUCGCGCUAUCCCCCU